AUGAACUCCGGGGAAGGAGCCUCAGCUGAUCAGACUCGUCAAGCACCUCUACCUCCGGCGGCGGUGGCACAGCCAAGGUGUUCGACGAAGUGCGUCACGGACCCCGCUGCUUCCGAGACACCCGGCCGUGGGCGGACAUCCUCGGCGUUGGAGACGCAGCACCGGCCGUGGGCGGACCUCCCGGCGGACAUCCUCGGCGUCGUGGUCACCCGCCUCGCCCUUGUGGAGGACCGCGCCAGGCUGCGCUCGCCGCCGCCGCCGCUGCCCCUGCUCGUGCUGGCCGACUUCUCGUUCGCCAGCUUCAGAGCGGAUGGGAUCUUGACGGGCGCGCGCCUCCGCGUCCCGCUGCCGGAGACGGAGACGGAGACGGUGGAGGCUGGCGGCGUGCGCUGCGUGGGCUCGAUCGAGGGAUGGCUCGUGGCCGUGGAGCGCGACAAAAGCCGUGACUUUGGUGGUGGUGACCUCCGGUGCUUCUUGAUGAACGCCUUCUCCCAGGAUGUCGUCCCUCUCCCGCCUCCUUCCGCAGCCACCCACCCCGCCGACGAACACAGCAUGUCUCUCCCCAUCGCCAAUGGCGACUCUGGUAUGGAGAUGAACAUGAAUUGCGCGAUCAAUGCCGCCCAGUGUGUGAUGUCUUUUCGCAAGGUGAUCCUGUCAUCUUCGCCCGAGUCGGGCACCGGUUGUGUCGUGGCUGCCAUCUCCAUGGCCGAGGGCACCACUAAGCUUGCUCUCUGGCGACCUGGAAUGGAGUCAUGGUGCGUGUGCUACGGCAGUUGUGUCAGUAAGUUCACCGACGUCAUCUUCAUCCAGGGGAAGCUCUACAUGCUCAGUUGCAGCGACCUCACCACAGACCUCUUUUCCCUUGAGCUCUCCGAAGACGACGACGACAGCGGCCUCAUGGUUUCUCGUGUUGAGUGUCGCGAAAUCGAAUGGCCUGAAGUCACUGAUGGAUAUCACCAGAAUUGGAGCAUAGUAGAGUGGCGUGGAAAGCUGUUGAUAGUUGCGACAUACACGGCCGAGGAUGACGACGUUUGGCAGAGAAUUGUUGAGGUUAGGGUAUUCGAGGCGCACUUGAGCACAGACCCUGUCAGAUUCACAGAGAUCAGGAGCUUGGAUGGGGACUGCAUCUUCAUCAGCCCAUGCAGCUGCGAGUCAUUCCGUUCGUGUCAUUAUGAUGGACUUGAAGCUGAUCUUGUCUACUUCAUUGAUGGUUACCUCCCCCCUGAUAAAAAUGCCCGCCCUUUUUAUAAGUUUGUGUACAACACGAGAGAUGGUACAAUGGCACCGUUUGCUGAAGGCAUACCAAAGGACAAGCUUCGGACGCCAGAUGGCAUACUGAAGCAUCCAACAUGGCUAUUUCCUCCUGAAUAAACUGCUGCAGAUCAGCUCUGUUUCUGUGAUCCUACUGAGUCUUACUGUACGAAGCACCAAUGCUUGAUUGGGGCCAGGCGCCAUAAUGUUAAUUGUAUUUCUGAGAGCUAAAACAAGUGUGCUAUUGUUUUAUGUCUGAUUCAGGUGAUUUUUUUUAGUAGUAAACUUGUGUGUGCUUAAACUGUUUUCAAGUUCCUACGAGACAUUUUAGUGCUUUGGCACUUGUUGGGGGAGUUUUCAGUUCCUAUGUAAGUAUCUACAUGAGGAAUGGUUUUCACA